CAGGCAAACUUUGCCUUAAGAGAAAAAGAGAAGAAAAAUCUGCAACCGAACAGGGAAUUCUGCUUAAUGAGAUGCAAACUGCAGGAUAUGGAGGGAAGCCUGCCAUUUACACAGAGUGAAUUAAAGGAAACAGACCAGAGAGUGGUCUGAGGACCAUGCUGCCACUUGGUCUUACUCUCCCUGGAAAGCCUGAAGAGACAUGCUUUGCCACCGACAGAAGAGUAACUGCGACAAUUAACAAGAGUCCCUUGGUAAACUUGCACCUCCACUCUGGGACCGAGAACUGUUAAUGGUUUCAAGACCAUCAUUUCCCCCAGACCAGACUGACUGUUUCAGAGAACCACCCAGAGAUUAAAACUUUUGUCAACUCGGCCUAGUUCCGGUCUUUUCUCUACAUCUGACAGAGAACUUUGGGCUUUUGGCAUUUCAAUCAUGGAACUACUGUUGGGGUACAAGGGCAACCCCCACUGAGUUUAAUUUCCUUCCCAUCCCUUGUACUGUCUAUCAAAACCCCCUCAAGGAAAAGCUGUGUGCAGACUCAUGCUGUAACAUAUGCAGCAGGACAAACACAGGACUGGCUGCUCAGCAAA